GACGAACGCUGGCGGCGUGCUUAACACAUGCAAGUCGAACGGAAAGGCCCUGCUUUUGUGGGGUGCUCGAGUGGCGAACGGGUGAGUAACACGUGAGUAACCUGCCCUUGACUUUGGGAUAACUUCAGGAAACUGGGGCUAAUACCGGAUAGGAGCUCCUGCUGCAUGGUGGGGGUUGGAAAGUUUCGGCGGUUGGGGAUGGACUCGCGGCUUAUCAGCUUGUUGGUGGGGUAGUGGCUUACCAAGGCUUUGACGGGUAGCCGGCCUGAGAGGGUGACCGGCCACAUUGGGACUGAGAUACGGCCCAGACUCCUACGGGAGGCAGCAGUGGGGAAUAUUGCACAAUGGGCGGAAGCCUGAUGCAGCAACGCCGCGUGCGGGAUGACGGCCUUCGGGGUGUAAACCGCUUUCGCUUGUGACGAAGCGUGAGUGACGGUAAUGGGUAAAGAAGCACCGGCUAACUACGUG
rnacentral:rRNA from 1 species